CCCCUAGAUGUUCUGGGCCGCACGCGCGCUACACUGAACAGUUCAACAAGUCUUAACCUUGGCCGAUAGGUCUGGGUAAUCUUUGAACGCUGUUCGUGAUUGGGAUAGACCUUUGCAAUUAUGGGUCUUCAACGAGGAAUUCCUAGUAAACGCAAGUCAUCAGCUUGCAUUGAUUACGUCCCUGCCCUUUGUACACACCGCCCGUCGCUCCUACCGAUUGAAUGAUCCGGUGAAAUCUCGGGACGGCGGCUUGGUCGCUUGCGUCCGACUGCUGAAACUUGAUUAAACCAUAUCAUUUAGAGGAAGGUGAAGUCGUANCA
rnacentral:rRNA from 1 species